GGGGAAUAUUGCGCAAUGGGGGCAACCCUGACGCAGCCAUGCCGCGUGAAUGAAGAAGGCCUUCGGGUUGUAAAGUUCUUUCGGUAGCGAGGAAGGCAUUUAGUUUAAUAGACUAGGUGAUUGACGUUAACUACAGAAGAAGCACCGGCUAACUCCGUGCCAGCAGCCGCGGUAAUACGGAGGGUGCGAGCGUUAAUCGGAAUAACUGGGCGUAAAGGGCACGCAGGCGGUGACUUAAGUGAGGUGUGAAAGCCCCGGGCUUAACCUGGGAAUUGCAUUUCAUACUGGGUCGCUAGAGUACUUUAGGGAGGGGUAGAAUUCCACGUGUAGCGGUGAAAUGCGUAGAGAUGUGGAGGAAUACCGAAGGCGAAGGCAGCCCCUUGGGAAUGUACUGACGCUCAUGUGUGAAAGCGUGGGGAGCAAACAGGAUUAGAUACCCUGGUAGUCCACGCUGUAAACGAUGUCGAUUUGGGGGUUGAACUUUAAGUUUGGCGCCCGUAGCUAACGUGAUAAAUCGACCGCCUGGGGAGUACGGCCGCAAGGUUA
rnacentral:rRNA from 1 species